AGAGUUUGAUCAUGGCUCAGGAUGAACGCUGGCGGCGUGCCUAAUACAUGCAAGUCGAACGGACCUCGCAAGAGGUUAGUGGCGACCGGGUGCGUAACACGUAGCUGACCUGCCCCUCAGCGGGGGACAACAGUGCGAAAGCGCUGCUAAUACCGCAUACGCUCGGAGAUGUUAGAAGGCUCUGAGGAAACUUACGGGGUUGAGGGAGGGAGCUGCGGCCCAUCAGGUAGUUGGUAGGGUAGUGGCCUACCAAGCCAACGACGGGUAGGGGGCCUGAGAGGGUGGUCCCCCACACUGGGACUGACACACGGCCCAGACUCCUACGGGAGGCAGCAGUAAGGGAUAUUGCGCAAUGGGCGAAAGCCUGACGCAGCAACGCCGCGUGGAGGAUGACGGCCUUCGGGUUGUAAACUCCUUUUGGCCCGGACGAGGAAGGACGGUACGGGUCGAAGAAGUCACGGCUAACUACGUGCCAGCCGCCGCGGUAAUUC
rnacentral:rRNA from 1 species